GCGCGGCCUACAGCUCCUUGGCGGCGGGAGCCGAAACCCAAAGCGCACGCGCAGCGCAAGCCUCGGGGGCUGCUGCGGCGCGCGUUCCGGGAGGUAGACUGAAGGGCGGGGGCGGGGUCUGGUGGUCGCGCAGGCACCGCCUCUACCCGGCCGCAGCGCGUCUCUAGGCCAGGUCCCCCGAGAUCCGGGUCACCAAAACUCCCGCAGACCUUUUCCCCUGGGGCGACUCGGGGGGCCUGUUACCAGUAGUCACCACCCUGCCUCGACUCCCUCGGUGAAUCAGGUGCUAACCUUGGUCUUCGCGGCUCCCCUGCCUGGGUUUUCUGAGUGCGACAGAUUUAGGCCCGGGUUGGGGGAUUCCUAUGGCCCUGCCCCACCCACGGAGACCGAGAAGGCUCACCCGGUGGGAAAAGGGCCCUAGGGCAGCCCGGAAGUGAAGAUAUAAAGGAAGAUGGCAAGGGAAGCCCCAGCUCUGAGGAAUGAUUGGGCAAGAGCAGUCCUCCUUAGCAAACAUAACAUCCAUCUGCUAAAUGUUCCUUUAGAGUUUUUCUCCAGUGAAAAGCUGUGUGUUGUGUUUCAACUUCAGAUCUGUGCAAAUGACUAACACAAGAACCACAGCUGCAGAGAAGUUCAAGCUGUCAUAGCAUUCAGUUCAGAGGAAGUUAAGACAGAGACUCAGAAAAAAAGAAAACUACAGGCCAAUAUCCCUGAUGAAUAUGGAUGCAAAAAUUCUCACCAAGAUACUAGCAAAUCAAAUUCAACAGCAUAUAAAAAGAAUUAUUCACCAUGAUCAAGUGGGAUUCAUUCCUGGGCUGCAGGGCUGGUUCAAUAUUUGCAAAUCAAUCAAUGUGAUACAUCACAUUAAUAAAAGAUAAGAUCCAUAUGAUUCUGUCAAUCCAUGCAGAAAAGCAUUUGACAAAAUUCAACAUCCUUUCUUAAUUAAAACCCUCAAGAAAGUUGGGAUAGAAGUAACAUACUUAAACAUCAUAACAGCCAUUUAUGAAAAGCCCACAGCUAAUAUCAUCCUCAAUGGGGAAAAACUGAGAGCUUUUUCCCUGAGAUCAGGAACACGACAGGGAUGUCCACUCUCACCGAUGUUGUUUAACAUAGUGUUGGAAGUGCUAGCAUCAGCAUUCAGACAACAAAAGGAAAUCAAAGGCAUCCAAGUUGGCAAAGAUGAAGUCAAACUUUCACUUUUUGCAGAUGACAUGAUACUGUACAUGGAAACCCAACAGACUCCACCAAAAGUCUGCUGGUACUGAUACAUGAAUUCAGCAAAGUCUCAGGAUACAAAAUCAAUGUACAGAAAUCAGUUGCAUUCUUAUACGCUAAUAAUGAAGCAACAGAAAGGCAAAUAAAGAAACUGAUCCCAUUCACAAUUGCACCAAGAAUCAUGAAAUACCUAGGAAUAAACCUAACCAAAGAUGUAAAAGAUCUGUAUGCUGAAACUAUAGAAAGCUUAUGAAGGAAAUUGAAGAAGAUACAAAGAAAUGGAAAAACAUUUUGUGCUCAUGGAUUGGAAGAAUAAAUAUUGUUAUGUGGAUAUUUUCAAUACAUUCUCACUGCAAUAAUUUUUAAGAUAUGGCCAAUUUAAAAUGAACUUUUGCUUUUUAAAAUCUGUUUUUGUUCAAGUCAUAAUAACCAAGCAAAUGGGGAGGACGCUCUCCUCAUUGUGGUUAUUUUAUUCAAAUCAUGGUAUGAACCCUCUUUUUGUAUAAAAGUAUGUUUGUGGGUUUUUCUUUUCUUGAGUAAUAGCAACUCUAGAACUUCAGGAUGAGUCUAAGUGUUGAUUCUAAUUGCCAGAAUUGCAUAGCUGUCUGUCUUAGGGCUUCAGAGGUAAAAUGUCUAAUUAACUGAUUGCAGAACUACCUUGAAACAGACCAUGCUUGCUUCCAGUUAUUAAAUGUACUCGUUUUGUGGACUUAAGAUAAUAAUCCCUUAGCCCUCUUUACCUAUUUCCUAAAGAAAUAUAUGGUUUUUGUUUGCAUUAGUCACUUUCUGUUCUUUUUAAAUUUGUAGAAUUUCUUAUUUCUAAUAUAUUUAGUCAUCACAUAAAAAGAGGGGAAAAUUUGGUUGUCUGAGUAGGUAUAAAGCAUCUGUCAUGUGAGGUGACCAGCUUGUCCCAGUUUCCCCAGGAUUUUGCUGCUUUUAAGACUGAAAGUCUUGUGUCCCCAGAAGCCUUUUAAGUCCUGGGCAAGCCAGAACAGCCCGUUACCCUACAGCUAUGAUGUAUUUCGGGGAAAUAAGAAUUCAUUUGAAAUGAGAACAAAUACUUAUCAUUUAAGCAUCUUCUUCUUUAUUUAAAAAUAGUCUAUGUGUUUUAUGUUGAAAAGGAGCAGCUGCCUCCCAUCACUAAGCAGGGCCAGGCUGUUUUUAGCUCUGAAAGCUGCACAAAAGGCAAGAACUGGGAUUUCCUAAAGGUUUGUAAUGGGCAAUCGAUACUUUCCAGAGGGAAAUAUUGGCUGAAGAGAAGCCAAUGUUAGUAUUUCUCCCUGGAGAAAAAUAUAUUUUUAUUUUUCCCCAAAUAAGUCAAGAGUUGUGUUAGGUUCCAUUUGAAUAUUUUCCUAGAAACUAUUUCAGAAUAACUAUGAGAACCUAAUAUAUUUUCCUUAUGAUAUUAAAUUGAAGAUAUCAUAAUGCUUGAAAGAAUGAGUAAUUAUUUCAAAGGAAAUGGACAGUCUUCUAAAAGUGGUUAUAUUUUCAUAAAGUGGAGGGUUUGGGUACAUAAAUCUAUUAACGAAUCAUCUUCUUCCACUUCUUAAAUCCCCUCACUUCCUACUGUCCCUGAGUCCAAUUAAUGCUCUCCAGGUAACAUGGUCUUGGAUGUCCUCAUGCACGUUCCCCAUCCAAGAAUUGAGGUGGCUUAUUUAUUUAUUCAACCAACAUUUAUUGAAAACUUAUAUACUAGGCAUUGUGUUAGAUGCUCAGGAUACAGAAAUAUAAACAAAACUUCCCCACACUUAAAUGUUUUUUUAAUGUUUAUUUAAUUUUGAGACAGAGAGCACGAGCAAGGAAGGGACAGAGAGAGAGGGAGACACAGAAUUGGAAGCAGGCUGCAGGCUCUGAGAUGUCAGCACAGAACCCGACACAGGGCUUGAACUCACGAGCUGUGAGAUCAUGACCUGAGCCAAAGUCGGAUGCUUAACUGACUGAGCCACCCAGGCACCCCAAAACUGCCCCCAUGCUUAACUCACAUUUAUUUACUAAGCCCAUGGGAAAGGUCUUACAUGUAAAUAAUUUCCAUGUAAUGUGGUAUAAUUGAGUUUGUAAAAUUUGCUUUGGGACCUUACAGAAAGGACUGAUGGCACUGUCUUAGCUGGCUCUUACAUUUCCUUAUUUCUGGUAUGCAGGUUCUUUACAAAUACAUACAUUCAUGCGUGUUUCAAGCACAAUGAUUUUGGUUAUUUAGAGCCAGUAAUAUAAGAUUGACCUGUCUUAAUGCCACAUUCUGAAAUUCUUGGUUCAUAAGGUGUCAUUUCCAAAAGUGUGAUAUUAUAGGAAGUGAUGCAUAUGCUUUAUGUCUAAACAUAAUAAGGGCAGUGUCAAAAUGUGCUCUUCCUUCGAAGCCAAACUAAUUAUAGUGGCUUCCCACCUCUCACCAAUUCCCACCUUCUCACCUUGUCCUUUAUCAUAUUC